rnacentral:rRNA from 1 species
GACGAACGCUGGCGGCGUGCUUAACACAUGCAAGUCGAACGGAAAGGCCCUGCUUUUGUGGGGUGCUCGAGUGGCGAACGGGUGAGUAACACGUGAGUAACCUGCCCUUGACUUUGGGAUAACUUCAGGAAGCUGGGGCUAAUACCGGAUAGGAGCUCCUGCUGCAUGGUGGGGGUUGGAAAGUUUCGGCGGUUGGGGAUGGACUCGCGGCUUAUCAGCUUGUUGGUGGGGUAGUGGCUUACCAAGGCUUUGACGGGUAGCCGGCCUGAGAGGGUGACCGGCCACAUUGGGACUGAGAUACGGCCCAGACUCCUACGGGAGGCAGCAGUGGGGAAUAUUGCACAAUGGGCGGAAGCCUGAUGCAGCAACGCCGCGUGCGGGAUGACGGCCUUCGGGUUGUAACCCGCUUUCGCCUGUGACGAAGCGUGAGUGACGGUAAUGGGUAAAGAAGCACCGGCUAACUACGUG